UACAGAGGGGGCAAGCGUUGUUCGGAAUUACUGGGCGUAAAGCGCGUGUAGGUGGCGGCCUAAGUACCUUGUGAAAUCCUGCGGCUCAACCGCAGAACUGCUUGGUAUACUGGGUCGCUUGAGCCAUCCAGGGGCAACUGGAACAAGCGGUGGAGCGGUGAAAUGCGUAGAUAUCGCUUGGAACGCCAAAGGUGAAAACAGGUUGCUGGGGAUGCGCUGACACUGAGACGCGAAAGCCAGGGGAGCGAACGGG
rnacentral:rRNA from 1 species